GGGAAUAGACAGAUAUUAUUACAUCUGUUAGAAGAACUGGUUGUGAACCUGUUUGGGAGGAUAACUUCCUCAGAAAGACUGUCCACCCUGCCACUCAUAAAGGAUGUGUGCUGACUCCUGUUUAAAUAUUACAGAUAUUGAGUGUGUGUUAAAGGCAGCUCUGCACACAAUCCUGAAAGUCCACAGUCUGUUCCUCUCUAUUCACAUGCUGAUGUUUGUUUGCACUUGUGCAUUUGAACUUAGGCUCUAAGUUCUUAAAGGGUAGGAGCUGUUACUUUCUGAUUAACUUUGUAUAUCUUCCAGCAUGGGUCUCUCUAUAUACAUAGACAAAAGCUUAAUGUAUUCAAUCUGUUGAAAAAAAAAGUACCAAGCCUGGGAUUUCUCAAGGGUAAAACUGUAUUUGGUGAUAUUUUUAUUUCAACAUGGACUUCAUCCAGCCCCAUUCUUCAACAGAGCUCUCCUAAGUUCCUGUUGGUUCACUGGAGCAACAGAAGACAGAACUGUCCUGGAAGGAACAUAGCAGCUACAACGGACUUGAGUUUGGGUUUCUAUUCUGUUCCACCGAAACCUGUGCAAACUAGGAAAAUGAUCAAAGCGGCUUAUAUGAAUCUCAGAAACAAACAAGACUGAACCUUUGGCACACUAUGCAAUCUCAGUAGAUGUGUUCUUUGAAGUUCUCUGCUGAUACUUGCUGGAGGAAGACAGAUUUCCAUCACUUGCUUUCAGCUAUGGAAUAUUCCAGCACUUGUAAGGACAUUGGGCAACAUAAACAUUUCAAAAAAUAUAUUGGGAUUAAAAUAUUAGAUCCCUUUACUUCUAUUCUUGGAUUCAUUUCCAUAGGCUAGUAACUGGGCGAGAGCUUCUUAGCAGUACACCUGAAAUGUGUGGGAAAGAAUACCACAUAACGUGGAGGGUUUCAUCUCUAGGAUGUAGACUAAGUGGAUGCUCUUAAGCAAGAUGGCCACUACUCAGGCUCUGGCCCUUCCUGGCUCAGGAGGGAACUUUCUGGCAGUAGGCACAUCAGUCAUUUGGAGCAGAGUAUCUCUAGAGCCAGUCAUGUUGAAGCAAAGACUUUGGCAGUUUUGUUGUCAUAUAGAAGCAAACUGGGGGUCUGAUAGGUUUUAGGUUUGUUUGUUUCACUUGUGGUAUGAAUUAGUAAAACUCCAUA